rnacentral:tRNA from 1 species
GACUGGGUAGCAAAGUGGUUAUGCAGGGGCCUGCAAAGCCUUACAGACCGGUUCGACUCCGGUCCCAGUCUCCA